rnacentral:misc_RNA from 1 species
AGCAGGAGUGGAGCUACGUUUAGCUAAAAGUUUACACAGAUAGAUCCUCACUUAUACUAUUUUCUUCCUGUUUCUUCCUUUGAUUGAAGAGGACGAUAAAACCAAGUACAGAGCUCGAGCGCAACACAGUUGCAGGCCUCAGUUCAGGAUUUUGUAGAGGAAGAUAAAGCAAAUGCAAGGUAGCAGUAAAUUACAGUGUACUCACAUCUAUGUUUGUAAAGAGGGGUGAUAUCGAUACACACAGCAACAUAGAUGGAUUUGUUUCCACAAUACCAAUGCUCUCCUAUUAGUGCCCCUUAGUCUCACACUAUUAAGCAGCAGAUACCAAGAAAAGCCAUAAAAAAUGAAGAGUCAAAACAUGUGAAGACUUUCACAUGCUGAGUAGAGUAGAGUGUGGAAGAAAGAGGGAACAACAACAAAAAGGAGAGAAGAAAAGAAGACGAAAACACCUAACACCUAAAAUAAACGAAAUCUGCUAGAGCUCUUGUUGGUAUGAUCUAAACAUUUCCAAAGAACUGCUCCAAUGUUGUUGAGUUGAAGACAUUGAUUGCUGUUCUUUCUGGUUUGGUAGGCGAAACAUGUAACUGAUAUUUGAUGAAUCUCGCUAGCUGAAAAGUGAUUUCUGGAUUUGUAUCUAUGUGCCAAUCAGGUUCUAGUUGUCGAACAAAGGAUGUACGUCCAAUCUCAGUGCUGCAAAAGAGAACCUUGUCUUUGACCAGACCUCCAGAUGUAAAGACUCCAGCAUUCUCUAAAGCUAGGAGGACCUUUUUUUCACUUUCAUCAUCAAGGACUCUUUCCAUGAGAUAAAGGUCACAAAAUUUGGUGAUCUCAAGCAAUACUUCGAGUACGGAGGAUCGCACGGUUGCUUGUUGCUGAAGUUCCUCUGGGCUAGUUUCCUCAAGGAUCACUCCAAGCAACCUACAUGUCACCUUCCUUCCUUCACUCAGCCUUUGCCUAACUACCUGUGCAAGUGUUGGCUUUACUGGCUGAAAGAACUCAUCAAUAACAUUUUGAGCAUUUGAAUCCUCCGAAGAAGAGAUAACUCCUGAAGUUUCCACAUUUGCACUUGAAUGAGUGCUUACACCAGAACUACUAGGCGUCGUACCUUGUCGCUUAGGAAUUCUCCUUUGUGGUCCACUAGGUGAUCUCCACACUCUCCAGGUAAAAACUAUAGCAACUGCAAGACCUGCUAUGGCCCCCACAGAUCUUGAAUCCAGUGUGUGGAAGAUAUUAGAAAUCUUCACGGUCAAAAAAGCGCCGAAUCGCUUGAUGAGCUGAAGGAAAUCGUCCUUGGAGGAAUCACCCAUGUUACUUGUAGUAAUCAUAUAUCAAAUUCAGCAAAUUUGGCUCCUCCACCUCCUCCUAGUUGUCUUCGUCGGUUGAGUUUCCGGUGACCGAUAAAUCGAGCUUUCAGCUUUUCCGGCGGUCUCCACCGUGACUUUGCAGUCCAAGUUUUUGAUGGAAAUAAAUAUGAAAUUGACAAAUAGGGACAGCGAAUCGCAGCCUUCGAG